GGAGAAACCCUGAGAUCGCAAGACCUUGCGCUCAUUGAGCGGCUGAUCCUUGAUUAGCUAGCUGGUGAGGUAAAGGCUUACCAAGGCGACGAUCAGUAGCUGGUCUGAGAGGACGACCAGCCACACUGGGACUGAGACACGGCCCAGACUCCUACGGGAGGCAGCAGUGGGGAAUUUUGGACAAUGGGGGAAACCCUGAUCCAGCCAUGCCGCGUGAGUGAAGAAGGCCUUCGGGUUGUAAAGCUCUUUCAGCCGGAACGAAACGGUCACGGCUAAUACCUGUGACUACUGACGGUACCGGAAGAAGAAGCACCGGCUAACUACGUGCCAGCAGCCGCGGUAAUACGUAGGGUGCGAGCGUUAAUCGGAAUUACUGGGCGUAAAGCGUGCGCAGGCGGUUUUGUAAGUCAGAUGUGAAACCCCCGGGCUUAACCUGGGAACUGCGUUUGAAACUACAAGGCUAGAAGGG
rnacentral:rRNA from 1 species